CGCUACUACCGAUUGAAUGGCUCAGUGAGGCGUCCGGACUGGCCCAGGGAGGUGGGCAACUACCCCCCAGGGCCGGAAAGCUCUCCAAACUCGGUCAUUUAGAGGAAGUAAAAGUCGUAACAAGGUCUCCGUUGGUGAACCAGCGGAGGGAUCAUUACCGAGUUUUCAACUCCCAAACCCUUAUGUGAACCUACCUAUCGUUGCUUCGGCGGACUCGCCCCAGCCGGACGCGGACUGGACCAGCGGCCGCCGGGGACCAUCAAACUCUUGUAUUAUCAGCAUCUUCUGAAUACGCCGCAAGGCAAAACAAAUAAAUUAAAACUUUCAACAACGGAUCUCUUGGCUCUGGCAUCGAUGAAGAACGCAGCGAAAUGCGAUAAGUAAUGUGAAUUGCAGAAUCCAGUGAAUCAUCGAAUCUUUGAACGCACAUUGCGCCCGCCAGCAUUCUGGCGGGCAUGCCUGUUCGAGCGUCAUUUCAACCCUCGACCUCCCUUUGGGGAAGUCGGCGUUGGGGACCGGCAGCACACCGCCGGCCCUGAAAUGGAGUGGCGGCCCGUCCGCGGCGACCUCUGCGUAGUAAACCAACUCGCACCGGAACCCCGACGUGGCCACGCCGUAAAACACCCAACUUCUGAACGUUGACCUCGAAUCAGGUAGGACU
rnacentral:rRNA from 1 species